rnacentral:tRNA from 1 species
UUGGGGUUAGCUCAAUGGUAGAGCACUUGCCUAGCAUGCAUGAGGCCCUGGGUUUCAUCUCUAGUACCAUAAA